UAGAAAUGCAUAUAGCUUGGUGAAGUUAUGUAAUACCGGAUUGAUGGUUAUCAAAUCUAUACUGGCAAUUGUCGUCACUAAUACAUUGAAUUUGUCUAUGAUAACGCUUAAUGUCUCCAGUUUUACGCCUAAAUCUUUUAACAUAACGAAAACGCAAUGUAAACAAACAACAUUUUCAUGUUUAAUGAAUAAAGUGUAACAAACACGAAUGAAGUUAUAACGCACAUCUAAAGAUACUGUAAUAUUUAUAAAACAAACAUAUUUUAAAUACUUUUUAAACAUUGUCUUUGUAUUUUUUAUAUCUUUUUAAAAAAAUCUGUAUCAAUAUAUGCUGACUAAAAAACUAUUCCUAAUUUCA